rnacentral:rRNA from 1 species
UACGAAGGGGGCUAGCGUUGCUCGGAAUCACUGGGCGUAAAGGGUGUGUAGGCGGGCUUUUAAGUCAGUGGUGAAAUCUCCGGGCUCAACCCGGAAACUGCCAUUGAUACUAUUAGUCUUGAAUUUUGUUGAGGUAGGCGGAAUAAGUCAUGUAGCGGUGAAAUGCAUAGAUAUGACUUAGAACACCAAUUGCGAAGGCAGCUUACUAAGCAAAUAUUGACGCUGAGGCACGAAAGCGUGGGGAUCAAACAGG